AGAGUUUGAUCCUGGCUCAGAGCGAACGCUGGCGGCAGGCUUAACACAUGCAAGUCGAACGGGCAUAGCAAUAUGUCAGUGGCAGACGGGUGAGUAACACGUGGGAACAUACCUUUUGGUUCGGAACAACUGAGGGAAACUUCAGCUAAUACCGGAUAAGCCCUUACGGGGAAAGAUUUAUCGCCGAAAGAUUGGCCCGCGUCUGAUUAGCUAGUUGGUGUGGUAACGGCUCACCAAGGCGACGAUCAGUAGCUGGUCUGAGAGGAUGAUCAGCCCCACUGGGACUGAGACACGGCCCAGACUCCUACGGGAGGCAGCAGUGGGGAAUAUUGGACAAUGGGCGAAAGCCUGAUCCAGCCAUGCCGCGUGAGUGAUGAAGGCCCUAGGGUUGUAAA
rnacentral:rRNA from 1 species